rnacentral:lncRNA from 12 species
GAGAAACUCGCAGCGAGGAUCUCGCCCUCCGCACACAAUAACGCAUCUCCGAGGAAGAUCCGAUGCGGAUUUGGGAAUGCGGGAAGGAUUUAAUCAGGGUCAUCUCGGGCCCGGCAGCUGGACAGGGGCCGUGCCGUGGCCUGGGGGUGCCAAUGUUCUGCCCGAGGGCCGUCAGGAGCCUGGUAGCCCGAGAAGAUGCAGAAGAGCUCCUACUACGACGGCUCCGCGCUCUUCGGGCCUUUCUCCUACGGCGCCGGCGCCAACGGCUUCGGCUACGAGGGCGCCCAGCCGCCCUUCCAGCCCGUCCCCCAGGCCGAGGGCGACUUCCAGAGAUCCUCCUGCUCCCUGCAGUCCCUGGGCGGCAGCGCGGCCAAGGGUAAAGAGCUCAACGGCGGCUGCGCCCGGCCGGCCUCGCCCGACGACGGCGCCGGGAAAAGCGCGGCCGGGAAAGGCGACCCGGGCAUCUCCAAGCAGAUCUUCCCCUGGAUGAAGGAGUCCAGGCAGAACUCCAAGCAGAAGAACGGCUC